rnacentral:tRNA from 1 species
GGAGAGGUGGCUGAGCGGUCUAAAGCGGCGGUCUUGAAAACCGCAGGGGGCAUUGCCCUCCGGGGGUUCGAAUCCCUCCCUCUCCGCCA